rnacentral:rRNA from 1 species
GACGUAGGGGGCGAGCGUUAUUCGGAAUCAUUGGGCGUAAAGCGCGUGUAGGCGGCCCGGUAAGUCCGCUGUGAAAGUCGGGGGCUCAACCCUCGAAUGCCGGUGGAUACUGUCGGGCUAGAGUGCGGAAGAGGCGAGUGGAAUUCCUGGUGUAGCGGUGAAAUGCGCAGAUAUCAGGAGGAACACCAAUUGCGAAGGCAGCUCGCUGGGACGUGACUGACGCUGAGACGCGAAAGCGUGGGUAGCAAACAGG